GGCCUGGUGGUCUAGUAGUAUGAUUCCUUGUUAGGGUUGCUUACCUAAUACUCGAGGAGGUCCCGGGUUCAAUUCCCGGCCAGGCCC